rnacentral:misc_RNA from 1 species
UUGCGGCUGGAUCCCCUCCUUUCUAAGGAUAUUAUACGGAAUAUAAGACCUUGCGGUCUUAUAGACAGGUGCGUUUGGAUCUUGUUUAGUUUUGAAGGAUCAUUCCUUCAAAGCGUGUUCUUUGAAAACUAGAUAACGAAAGUAGACAUUCACAUUCAAUUGUAAUGCAAGAUAUCACGUAGUGAUUCUUUUUAACGGUUAAGUUAGAAAGGGCGCACGGUGGAUGCCUUGGCACUAGGAGCCGAUGAAGGACGGGACGAACACCGAUAUGCUUCGGGGAGCUGUAAGCAAGCUUUGAUCCGGAGAUUUCCGAAUGGGGAAACCCGGA